rnacentral:rRNA from 1 species
UGAGCAAUCUGCCCUUCUCUUCGGAAUAAGCGUGGGAAACCGCGUCUAAUGCCGAAUACGACCUCCUUUCGCAUGAUCGGAGGUGGAAAGCUCCGGCGGAGAAGGAUGAGCUCGCGGCCUAUCAGCUAGUUGGUGUGGGUAAUGGCCCACCAAGGCGACGACGGGUAGCCGGCCUGAGGGGGUGACCGGCCACACUGGGACUGAGACACGGCCCAGACCUCCGUACGGGAGCAGC